rnacentral:rRNA from 1 species
UAUCUCUGUAGAGUCUGCAUAUCAAUAAGCGGAGGAAAAGAAACUAACAAGGAUUCCCUUAGUAACGGCGAGUGAAGCGGGAAGAGCUCAAAUUUGAAAUCUUCAAGGUUCUACCUUGACGAAUUGUAGUUUAUAGAAGUGUUUUCUGUUAGUGGAGUGGCAAAAGUUCUUUGGAAUAGGACAUCAUAGAGGGUGAGAAUCCCGUAUUUGGUCAUUCCUCCUAGCGUUGUGAUACACUUUCAACGAGUCGGAUUGUUUGGGAAUGCAGUCCAAAAUGGGUGGUAAAUUUCAUCUAAAGCUAAAUAUUGGCGAGAGACCGAUAGCGAACAAGUACCGUGAGGGAAAGAUGAAAAGAACUUUGAAAAGAGAGUUAAACAGUACGUGAAAUUGUCAAAAGGGAAGCGUUUGACACCAGUGUUGUUUUCUCGAAAAUCAAUUAAAAAGGCCGGAUUUUGUGUUGUAUUGACCUUAAAAGCUUUCUUCACUCUUUUCUUGUCUUUUUUAAUGCACUUUUCGUUUAACAAGUCAACAUCAGUUUCUUUUGUUGUAAAAGAGGUCAUUGGAAGGUGGCUUUCACUUUCGGAUGAAAGUGUUUAUAGCCUUUGAUCUUCUGCAAUCGGAGAGGAUUGAGGUCUGCAGCGUAGAAUCCUUCGGGGUUAGAUACACUUGUGCUAAGUUAUAGCUUUUUCAUAGACAACUUGUUGAUUAUAUUAGUCUUGUAGGCUUACUCGCUUAUGCUAUUUUACCUACGCUUAGGAUGUUGACGCAUGAGAUAUACGC